UUUUUUUUUUUUUUUUUUUUCGUUCCCUCCUUCUAUUUUCAUUCCCUCCGAUUUCUUCCCAAGCCCUAAAUGAUUUCUUCUUGAAGCCCUAAUCAAACCUCUAUAAUAUCGACUGAAAUCCACUCCUCCGCCUUGAAAAAUCACCUCCACCGCCGUCCACCUGCAUCGCCCCUCUUUGCAUCGCUCUCUGAAGUACACUUGAAGCUCGUCAAAGGAAAAUCUCAGAAAUCACAUCCUCAUUGGCUUUCCACUCGUUUCACCCCCCUUCCUUAUUGACUCAUUCGUUUCCCUAUCAAAGCCAUUCGAUCUGAUUCGAUCUGUUGGUUUAUCCAUUACUGCUUCAGAUCGUGUAAACUCGAGAAAAUCUAAAGUAUUCUUCAUCAGCUUCCAAUUCUGGUUACUUUCUAGUAGUGUGUAAGUUGCAUUUCCAUGUAGAACUCUUACUUCUCUUUCAUUUCUAGCUUAUAUCGCUGCUCGUUUUCUAAUAUUUGCCUUCUUUAACUCUUUAAUUUUGGUUUUCCUAGUAAUUAUCAUCUUAACUCUAAUUUGUAUGUUCUAGAUUAUAUAAAUUAGCAUAUGGAUUUUUUUCUAGAUUUGAACUGAUUCGACAAGGGGAUACCAGAUUGAAUACUACUUCGAGGAGAAGAAGUAUAAGUUUUCCUUACCGCAUGAUGUUAAGAUCAUAAUUAACCCUUUUUGAGUCUGUUCUUGGUGUAUCAGUUUACUAUUUUGAAAUGUUGAUUUGAUUAACAGUGGUUGAUAUUCUGACAUGAUGAUUGAUGAAACAGAUUUUCGAAGGCAAGGUAGUUUGAUAUUGAGAAGAAAAACAAAUAUGGUUGAUAUUAUAAAAUGGAGGAAGGAUUAUGGUAGACACAACCAUGGAGUGCUAAAAAAAAAUUUCAUUUCAUUUAAAUUGUGUUCUGGUGGUGUAUAGUUGUUUUCCUGUUGUUAUGUUGUGCCAAUUUCAUUUCAUUUAAAAAGUAAAACCCUUGUCUCAUAUUUGUGUGUUUUGUUGUUAGGGGCAUGGUGGUCUUGUUAACACUGGCGAAGCAGGAUUUUGUGUUCAAAUAUGUUCUCCUAUUUCAGUCAAAUCCUUCUUUGAUCCAAAGUUCAUGUUUUGGGCAGAAAAUAUCAAAACAAGCUCCUUGAAAUGCUUGAUGGCAGAUACUUUUA